GGCGACAUAGCCAAGUGGUAAGGCAGAGGUCUGCAAAACCUCUAUUCCCCAGUUCAAAUCUGGGUGUUGCCU
rnacentral:tRNA from 2 species